UACAUAAUCACACAUCAAAAAGCCAUCAUGACUUUAAUCACCAUCUUCAUCUGGAUGCUUGUUACAUGUACUUUGGGCUCUUUGGGGCAGGUUGUGGUCACUCAGACUGCAGCUAAAUCAGCUCAGCCUGGUCAUUCAGUCACUAUUGACUGCAAAGCCAACACUGUAGUUUAUCGUCUUGAGCGAGGGCUAACUUCCAAGGGCCGAUAUUAUACAUCCUGGUACCUUCAGAAACCUGGAGAAGAGCCAAAGCUUCUGAUAUAUUAUUCAGAUGAGAGAGAAUCUGGAGUUUCCUCUAAAUUUAGUGGUGGUGGAGGUCAUCCUUCAUCAGGAGGGAAUGGUCUGGAUUUUUCUCUGACCGUCAGUGGAGUCCAGGCUGAAGAUUCUGGAGAUUAUUACUGUGUGACUGCACAUAGGAUCAGUGAAAGCUGGGUGUUUACACAGUGA